rnacentral:rRNA from 1 species
GACGAACGCUGGCGGCGUGCUUAACACAUGCAAGUCGAACGGAAAGGCCCUGCUUUUGUGGGGUGCUCGAGUGGCGAACGGGUGAGUAACAAGUGAGUAACCUGCCCUUGACUUUGGGAUAACUUCAGGAAACUGGGGCUAAUACCGGAUAGGAGCUCCUGCUGCAUGGUGGGGGUUGGAAAGUUUCGGCGGUUGGGGAUGGACUCGCGGCUUAUCAGCUUGUUGGUGGGGUAGUGGCUUAUCAAGGCUUUGACGGGUAGCCGGCCUGAGCGGGUGACCGGCCACAUUGGGACUGAGAUACGGCCCAGCCUCCUACGGGAGGCAGCAGUGGGGAAUAUUGCACAAUGGGCGGAAGCCUGAUGCAGCAACGCCGCGUGCGGGAUGACGGCCUUCGGGUUGUAAACCGCUUUCGCCUGUGACGAAGCGUGAGUGACGGUAAUGGGUAAAGAAGCACCGGCUAACUACGUG